UACGAAGGGGGCUAGCGUUGCUCGGAAUCACUGGGCGUAAAGCGCACGUAGGCGGGUCUUUAAGUCGGAGGUGAAAUCCUGGAGCUCAACUCCAGAACUGCCUUCGAUACUGAGGAUCUCGAGUCCGGGAGAGGUGAGUGGAACUGCGAGUGUAGAGGUGAAAUUCGUAGAUAUUCGCAAGAACACCAGUGGCGAAGGCGGCUCACUGGCCCGGUACUGACGCUGAGGAGCGAAAGCGUGGGGAGCAAACAGG
rnacentral:rRNA from 1 species